GGAGGAGUGGCCGAGUUGGCUGAAGGCAGCGGUCUUGAAAACCGCCGUACGGGUAACCGUACCAGGGGUUCGAAUCCCUUCUCCUCCG
rnacentral:tRNA from 1 species